CAGAGGGGGCAAGCGUUGUUCGGAAUUACUGGGCGUAAAGGGCGCGUAGGCGGCCUGCUAAGUCGAACGUGAAAUCCCUGGGCUCAACCCAGGAACUGCGUCCGAUACUGGUUGGCUUGAAUCCGGGAGAGGGAUGUGGAAUUCCAGGUGUAGCGGUGAAAUGCGUAGAUAUCUGGAGGAACACCGGUGGCGAAGGCGACAUCCUGGACCGGUAUUGACGCUGAGGCGCGAAAGCCAGGGGAGCAAACGGGAUUAGAUACCCCGGUAGUCCUGGCCCUAAACGAUGAAUGCUUGGUGUGGCGGGUAUCGAUCCCUGCCGUGCCGAAGCUAACGCAUUAAGCAUUCCGCCUGGGGAGUACGGUCGUAAGGCUG
rnacentral:rRNA from 1 species